rnacentral:rRNA from 1 species
CUAAACGAUGUAACUAGGUGUUGGAAGGGUUAAACCUUUAGUGCCGCAGCUAACGCGUGAAGUUGACCGCCUGGGGAGUACGGCCGCAAGGCUAAAACUCAAAGGAAUUGACGGGGACCCGCACAAGCGGUGGAUGAUGUGGAUUAAUUCGAUGCAACGCGAAAAACCUUACCUACCCUUGACAUGUCAGGAAUCCCGAAGAGAUUUGGGAGUGCUCGAAAGAGAACCUGAACACAGGUGCUGCAUGGCGUCGUCAGCUCGUGUCGUGAGAUGUUGGGUUAAGUCCCGCAACGAGCGCAACCCUGUCAUUAAUUGCCAUCAUUCAGUUGGGCACUUUAAUGAGACUGCCGGUGACAAGCCGGAGGAAGGUGGGGAUGACGUCAAGUCCUCAUGGCCCUUAUGGGUAGGGCUUCACACGUCAUACAAUGGUCGGUUAGAGGGUUGCCAACCCGCGAGGGGGAGCCAAUCUCAGAAAGCCGAUCGUAGUCCGGAUUGAAGUCUGCAACUCGACUUCAUGAAGUCGGAAUCGCUAGUAAUCGCGGAUCAGCAUGUCGCGGUGAAUACGUUCCCGGGUCUUGUACACACCGCCCGUCACACCAUGGGAGCGGGUUCUGCCAGAAGUAGUUAGCCUAACCGCAGGGAGGGCGAUUACCACGGCAGGGUUCGUGACUGGGGUGAAGUCGUAACAAGGUAAC